GAACGCACAUUGCGCCCUGUGGUAUUCCGCAGGGCAUGCCUGUUCGAGCGUCAUUCAACCCCCUCAAGCUCUGCUUGGUGUUGGGCGUUUGUCCUGCCUUCUGGCACGGACUCGCCUCAAAAAUAUUGGCAGCCACCUCCCUGGCUUCGAGCGCAGCACCUUUGCGCCCGGUACUUGGGGGUCGUGGCUCCCCAAAAGCACUCCUUUCGGUUGACCUCGGAUCAGGUAGGGAUACCCGCUGAACUUAAG
rnacentral:misc_RNA from 1 species